rfam:Candidatus Kaiserbacteria bacterium RIFCSPHIGHO2_02_FTLL_54_11b rifcsphigho2_02_scaffold_9518, whole genome shotgun sequence.
CUGGUAUCCCAGAAAUGGGAUACAAUGAAUCUGACGCAGCGUCAGAAGUCAGCUGAGUCGUAGUAUUUGCACUCAUAUGCAAAAAAGGAC